UACGGAGGGUGCGAGCGUUGUUCGGAAUCACUGGGCGUAAAGCGCGUGUAGGCGGCCCACUAAGUCUGAUGUGAAAGCCCGGGGCUCACCCCCGGAAGUGCAUUGGAAACUGAUGGGCUGGAGUCCCGGAGAGGAAGGUGGAAUUCCUGGUGUAGCGGUGAAAUGCGUAGAUAUCAGGAGGAACACCGGUGGCGAAGGCGGCCUUCUGGACGGUGACUGACGCUGAGACGCGAAAGCGUGGGGAGCAAACAGG
rnacentral:rRNA from 1 species